AUGUGGGAGGGCACUCACCAACAGGAUGAUGAAGAUGAUGACGAUGAAGAUAAGCCAAUAAAAUUUCUCAUCCCAGAGUACAAGCACGAGUUCACUACAUUUGGACAGCAUGUCCAAACAGAAAACAAUGAUGUUGUUGACCAUGAUGUUGCAGAAGAUGAUGAUUAUGAUGAUGUGCCGCCACUCCAACAAUUUCAAACCAAUCCAGUGAGACAUCACCACAACACUGGAUUACCACCGCGUCCACCUGCUGCACCACAAAACAAAGCUCACUCCAAGUGCACCUGCUGCAUCAAGUUCAACACUGUGACCACCAAGGGUGCCUCGGAUAAAAACAUGCCGCCAAACCUCAUACUUGUCCCUGGAAUGAAGUUCACCUCGUACGACAAUGCAUGGGACUUUUACAACACUUAUCCAAGAUAUGCGGGGUUUGGCAUAUGCAGGAAGGCGAAACACAAAACAAAUGCCUACAUUGUCUGCACAAGAGAAGGGACGUGCAAGCAGACUGUGGCAGAUUAUGAUCGGAAACUUGGUGAAGGACAUGCAGCUGGACAAUCACACACACAGAUGAUGUCAACGCUAUCGCAUAUGUCCGAUGGUUUGCAGUUCAUGGGUCAUACUAGCCGCGACUGGGUCAACAAGAAUCAUAAGUUUGCUAGAGAAGAGUCUCAAGAUGACGCCAAGAAGCUUCUGGAUUUCUUCGAGAAGCUAGAAAAGAUCAACACAGAGUUCUUCUAUGAUUACGACGUCGAUGCAGAUAAUCGUGCUGCGCUGGCCUUUUCGGGCCGCUGCUCCGGUGGCUUUCUUGAGUGUCUCACGUUCAAUUGGGCCUACUGGCCUACUGGGCCUCAAACCCUACCGAAGGGUCUCUCCACCCCCAUCCCCGUGGCUGUUGUUCAUCCCCGUCCCUUUCGCUCUAACCUCGCCAAAGUCGCCGCUCCUGCAGUCCUUCGGCGCCAUCCAAUCUCACGCCAGACUCCCGCGGUAGGAGAGGAGAGUAUGAACGAAGUUCCUUGCAGCGGCAGCGGCAGCGACGAGGAGCCCUUUCUGUUUCCACCUCCUUUCUUUCGUGGAUGCCGUGUCUUCUUUGCCCGUCAGAGCCCAGAUCUGGCUGUGCAUCAGGAGGUUGUUCAUGUCAUCAAAAUGUGCAACCAGAAUGAAAGUGCAACUACACUGCAGCUUCUUCGAGACAGGGUAUCCUUAAAAAGAAAUGUAAGACGAAGGAGGGUAGAGGAGAUCGAGGAGGGAGGGGGCCGUUGCGAGGAGAUAGUUGGAGGUCAAGCAUUGGCAUUGGAGACAAGGAUCCGCGAGCGGGAGAGGCGACGCUGGGCCGGCCAUUUCCACUGCGUCGGCAGAAGCCAGCGGAGUGAGCUCGUCAGCGUGGCAUCGAACUAUACAAUGAAGUCAGAGUCCAGCCAGAUCGUUUGCAAGGUGUGCAUCCCCAAAUCCAUCUCCUUCUUUACUCCCUUUGAUUUCAAUUUCCAGCAAGUGCUUUUCGGCCAACUAGCAGCGAACUAUCCGUCCAAGUCAACAUGA
rnacentral:rRNA from 1 species